UGCUUAUCACGAAUGACAUAAGAGAUCGGGCUCGUAGAUGUCAUGGCAACCGUUGCGCCCAGCUACAGGUGCCAAAUCCCGCCUCGGAGGUGUCCGAGAAAGAUGAGCU
rnacentral:ncRNA from 2 species